rnacentral:pre_miRNA from 1 species
UGAUUUACGAAUGUGGUUAUUUAAAUAGUCGCAUUGUUAAAUAAAGCGCAUGAUUUAUGAAUGUGGCUAUUUAAAUAACCGCAUUCUUAAAUCAAAG